rnacentral:rRNA from 1 species
AUUGAACGCUGGCGGCAUGCUUUACACAGCAAGUCGAACGGUAACAGGCCGCAAGGUGCUGACGAGUGGCGAACGGGUGAGUAAUGCAUCGGAACGUGCCCCGUCGUGGGGGAUAACGCAGCGAAAGCUGUGCUAAUACCGCAUACGAUCUAUGGAUGAAAGCGGGGGACCGUAAGGCCUCGCGCGAUUGGAGCGGCCGAUGUCAGAUUAGGUAGUUGGUGGGGUAAAGGCUCACCAAGCCAACGAUCUGUAGCGGGUCUGAGAGGACGACCAGCCACACUGGGACUGAGACACGGCCCAGACUCCUACGUGAGGAAGCAGUGGGGAAUUUUGGACAAUGGGCGCAAGCCUGAUCCAGCAAUGCCGCGUGCAGGAAGAAGGCCUUCGGGUUGUAAACUGCUUUUGUACGGAACGAAAAGGUUUGGGUUAAUACCCUGGGCCGAUGACGGUACCGUAAGAAUAAGCACCGGCUAACUACGUGCCAGCCGCCGCGGUAA